rnacentral:rRNA from 1 species
UACAGAGGUCUCAAGCGUUGUUCGGAUUCAUUGGGCGUAAAGGGUGCGUAGGUGGCGGGGCCAGUCAGGUGUGAAAUCCCGGGGCUUAACCCUGGAACUGCAUUCGAUACUGCCGUGCUUGAGGACUGGAGAGGAGACUGGAAUUUACGGUGUAGCGGUGAAAUGCGUAGAUAUCGUAAGGAAGACCAGUGGCGAAGGCGGGUCUCGUGGACAGUUCCUGACGCUGAGGCACGAAGGCCCAGGGGAGCAAACGGG